UACAGAGGGUGCGAGCGUUUAAUCGGAAUUACUGGGCGUAAAGCGUGCGUAGACGGCUAUCUAAGUCGGGUGUGAAAGCCCCGGGCUCAACCUGGGAAUUGCAUUCGAGACUGAAUAGCUAGGGUACGGUAGAGGGAAGCGGAAUUUCCGGUGUAGCGGUGAAAUGCGUAGAUAAUCGGAAGGAACAUCAGUGGCGAAAAGCGGCUUCCUGGAC
rnacentral:rRNA from 1 species